rnacentral:rRNA from 1 species
AUUGAACGCUGGCGGCAGGCUUAACACAUGCAAGUCGAGCGGGGGAAGGUAGCUUGCUACCGGACCUAGCGGCGGACGGGUGAGUAAUGCUUAGGAAUCUGCCUAUUAGUGGGGGACAACGUCUCGAAAGGGAUGCUAAUACCGCAUACGUCCUACGGGAGAAAGCAGGGGAUCUUCGGACCUUGCGCUAAUAGAUGAGCCUAAGUCGGAUUAGCUAGUUGGUGGGGUAAAGGCCUACCAAGGCGACGAUCUGUAGCGGGUCUGAGAGGAUGAUCCGCCACACUGGGACUGAGACACGGCCCAGACUCCUACGGGAGGCAGCAGUGGGGAAUAUUGGACAAUGGGGGGAACCCUGAUCCAGCCAUGCCGCGUGUGUGAAGAAGGCCUUAUGGUUGUAAAGCACUUUAAGCGGGGAGGAGGGUACUCUAGUUAAUACCUAGGGAUAGUGGACGUUACUCGCAGAAUAAGCACCGGCUAACUCUGUGCCAGCCGCCGCCGUAA